CUCUGGGGUGGUCGGCCUCUGGUGCCUUGGGCAGCAUGAAGGUCUGAGUAAUUUGGGAUGACUUGCUGGGCUGGGCGGAUAAUUCUCACGCAAGGUCCAGGAACAGGAGGAAGGGGCUGCGGUGCAUGUUCAAAAUGUUGGCACGUCCUCCUCCAUGUCUUGGGAAACCAAGCAGUUUGGAGGCAUUUGCAGGACUGGGAUGUGUAGUCCUUCAGAAAUGACACGUCUAGAAUAACGUGAGGGGAGCUGUGUGGUUGAACUCCAGCUGUUUAAAAACAUAUUGACUUCAUAAUGUGGAAAAUGGUGUCCCAUAGGUAACUGCUCUGCAUACUCCUAUGAAAAAUGGUGCUCCAAAUGGCAUGACACCCCUUCUUGAAAAGCUUUUAUCUCCUCUCCACCAUUAUCUCCACAGUUUAAACAAAAGAACAACUAUCCAAAUGUAAAAUGCUCCUUUUUUAAUUACUAAAUUAAGAAAGUUAAACAGUUUUAAAAUGUAAACUUGCAAAUAAACCAUAACAAAAUGUAA